rnacentral:tRNA from 1 species
AGUUAAAUAGUUUAUACAAAAUAUUAAUUUUGUAAAUUAAAGAAGCAUGGACUUUAACAA